rnacentral:rRNA from 1 species
AGCAGCCGCGGUAAUUCCAGCUCCAAUAGCGUAUAUUAAAGUUGUUGCAGUUAAAAAGCUCGUAGUUGAAUUUCGGGAUCAAGGCGUCGGUCGUGCUUCGGUACGUACUGGCGUCAUUGAUUUCUCCCUUCUGACGAACCAUGAUGCCAUUAACUUGGUGUUAUGGGAAAUCAGGACUGUUACUUUGAAAAAAUUUAGAGUAGUUUAAAGCAGGCUAAUGCUUGAAUACAUUAGCAUGGAAUAAUGAAAUAGGACGUUCGAUCCUAUUUUGUUGGUUUCUAGGAUUGACGUAAUGAUUAAUAGGGAUAGUUGGGGGCAUUAGUAUUCAAUUGUCAGAGGUGAAAUUCUUGGAUUUAUUGAAGACUAACUACUGCGAAAGCAAUUUGCCAAGGAUGUUUUCAUUAAUCAAGAACGAAAGUUAGGGGAUCGAAGACGAUCAGAUACCGUCGUAGUCUUAACCAUAAACUAUGCCGACUAGGGAUCGGAUGAUGUUAAUUUUUAAUGACUCAUUCGGCGUACC